rnacentral:rRNA from 1 species
UACGGGAGGCAGCAGUGGGGAAUAUUGCACAAUGGGCGCAAGCCUGAUGCAGCCAUGCCGCGUGUAUGAAGAAGGCCUUCGGGGUUGUAAAGUACUUUCAGUCGUGAGGAAGGUGUUAAGGUUAAUAACCUUAGCAAUUGACGUUAGCGACAGAAGAAGCACCGGCUAACUCCGUGCCAGCAGCCGCGGUAAUACGGAGGGUGCGAGCGUUAAUCGGAAUUACUGGGCGUAAAGGGCACGCAGGCGGUUAAUUAAGUUGGAUGUGAAAUCCCCGGGCUUAACCUGGGAAUGGCAUUCAAGACUGGUUAGCUAGAGUCUUGUAGAGGGGGUAGAAUUCCAUGUGUAGCGGUGAAAUGCGUAGAGAUGUGGAGGAAUACCGGUGGCGAAGGCGGCCCCUGGACAAAGACUGACGCUCAUGUGCGAAAGCGUGGGGAGCGAAACAGGGAUUAGAUACC